CACACAGUGUGCACACGGGCUUCAUAACAGAGCAGUCAGUGGGAACACUUGAACGCACAGAGGGGGAGGAGGGCUGCGAGAGAAAACAAACCGAGAAAAUUGUUCGCCUGAAACGAAAGUAGCGAUACCAAAGUGGCAUUCGGCCCCCACCGUUAUUCGUUUUCGGAGCGAUCGGCGCGAUUGCGAUGUAGUUUUGUCGACUUCAUGCUGCGGUGUUGCUCCUUUCCAAGCAUCCGGUAAAAAUAAUAAGUGUCUGUGGGGCUACUGUACGGACGGCCAGUGCAGAACUGUUCUGAUGUGUCAAUAAGUUUGAGGCUGGAAUGAGAAGGCCCUGGCGUUUCCACCGGAUUUCAGGGGUCAUCUUCAUCGCAUGAUACAGCCUGACUGACAGAUCCAUCCUCAUCUUUCAAAUACCGUAUUUCCAUAUUCUGUGGCUCUGGUCAGCAGCAGUAUGAAGGGCGGAGGUGGAGGGAAAGAACCUCCGGUGGAGGGAGAGGUCAGCGGAAAGCGGCCCAAGCGCAAAUGUCUGCAGUGGCACCCGCUGCUGGCCAAGAAAGCUCCAGACUUCUCUGAGGAAGAGGAGGAGGAGGAUGAAGAGGAGCUGGAGAAGGAGCCGGUAAUAUGUGCAGAGAGUGGAGCGCAAGAGGGAGAGUGUGGUGGGAUGGAAGAUGACAGUGAGGAAUACUCCUCUGAACAACGGGCUCGCCGGCCCAUGAAUGCCUUUCUGCUGUUCUGCAAACGGCAUCGUUCACUGGUCCGACAGGAACAUCCGCGACUAGACAACCGGGGAGCCACUAAGAUCCUGGCGGACUGGUGGGCCGUACUGGACCCCAAAGAAAAGCAGAAAUACACAGACAUGGCCAAGGAGUAUAAGGACGCGUUCAUGAAGGCUAAUCCUGGUUACAAAUGGUGUCCCGCCACCAACAAGCCGGUAAAAAGUUCUUCUCACUCUGUGAGUAACACCCGCAAGAAAGUCUGGUCUCUUCCAUCCAACCCUAGCAAGGAAUCUUCAGUUGCCAAAAAGCAGCCCAAAUCUGACAGCACACCCCAGCUCAACUUCGCCAUGGCUGAUCCUAAUAAGAUGGGUGGCUUAAGCAUGCUGCUGUUAGCCGGGGAGCACGCACUGACCGCCAGAGAGAUUUCCUCCAGCUCUUCCCAGACAGGAUGCACAGAUGUUGCUAAGCACACUGGGAAAUCAGCCCUUUUCCAGCUGGCUGAGAUUUCUUCCAGUCCAGUGCAGCCAGUUGGGGGAAGUAAGAACGCUGAAGACACAAGCUCUCUCACGCAUGUAGAGGCCUCCGGACCAUCUCAGCCAAGUUCACCAGACCUGCCCAAGAGUUGUGUUAAAUCCCCCUUGUUUCAGCUGGCUGAGCAGAUCUCCUCCAGUAGGUCUCAGUCAGCGUCUGAGGGAAGGCAGUGCGGCCAGUCGGCUCUUUUCCAGCUCGCUGAGAUGUGUUUGGCCUCUGAGGCUGAAAAGAUGGAAGCUCGAUCCUCCCAGCCCUCUGGCGGUUCUUCUUCACUCUGUGCUCAGCACAGCUCAAGUAGCAGAGUCACCGAAGAAAAUGAAGAGCAGGCGGACGCUCCUGAACUUCCUGUCACCACAACAUCAUCCUCAUCAUCCUCCACCUCGUCCUCCCCUACUGACGCCGCCCCAUCUGAUCUCAGCCCCUGCAAGACGCUGAAGAAGAAGAAAAAGAAAAAAGAAAAUAAAGACGCGGACGAAAAUCCUGCAUCGCCCAAAAAAGCGAAAAAGCGACAUUCGCCCGAGUCGGACCUGGACAGCGUGAUGUUCACCAUCGAAGCAGUAGCAAAAGGUGCUUGGGGUUCGGAAGAAACACCCAAGAAGAAAGCUCGUUCCUCAGAAAGUGAGAGCAGCCCCUCAACAGACCAAUCUCCGGCGGUGAAGAAGAAAACAAAACCUAAAUCGAAAAAACUGUUGAAGCUGAAAGACAACGACGCAGAGGAAGAGGAAGAAGGGGAUGAAGAGACCAAUAAACCGCAGGACGUAGAGAUGAAAUCUGAGGAAGCUCCUCUGACCCCUAAAGAUGAGUGUGAGAAAGAGCCAGACAUGAAGGUGGAGCCCCCUGUUGACAUGGAGGACAUGGCACCGCACUGCUCUCACCCCACAGACUUGGAGGAGAAAGACACAGACACCAAACCACCACAAACCAGACAGGAAGACAGAGACCAAGAGGUUAAGCCAGAGACCUGUGGGUCUAGAAAGUCAGAGCGAAGCUGUAAAGGAGCACUUUAUAAGACUCUGGUGUCUGAAGGGAUGCUUACAUCUCUGAGAGCAAAUGUGGACAGAGGGAAAAGAGGAUCCAUGCGAGGAAGUGUGUCCGAUCAUGAGGGCGGCUGGAAUGACGAGAGCUGGGGAUUUUCUCAAGCUGCUACCAGCAACCCAAAAAAACUCAAGAAGUCCAAAUCUAAAGAGGAAACCACCCCAGGACUAGGAAAGCUUGAGGAGGAGUUCGAGAAAAAGUUCAACAGCUUACCGCAGUACAGCCCCCUGACUUUUGACAAAAAGAGCGUGGCGGUAACCAAGAAGAAAAAAAACAGUACGUCCAGCCCUCCUGAACCGCCCAAACUCUGCAAGGGUUCAUCUUCAUCUCAGAAAAAGACCUUAUUCCACAAGAUAGUGAACAAGUACAAACACAGGAAGGAGAAAUCCAGUGCCGCAGACAAAGAUGUCGUCCCAACUGACCCUGUGGGUACAGAAUCAAGUCCAGUGGUGAAGUCAGGCAGUCCGUGUGUGUCUCCCUCCCCUGAACCCCAGAAGGUUCUGGAUACACCUGUGGGCAGUCAGAAGAGAAAGGCCAGGAAGAGUAAAAUCACACACUUGGUGCGCACGGCUGAUGGACGAGUGUCACCUGCAGAGGCAGAAGAGAAAUCAAAGGAUCAGACCAAGAAUCAGGAUGAAAAGCCAUUCACUCAAGAGACAUUAUGCAAUAGGGGGGUCUGCUACGAUGACCCCAGAUCAGCAGAAGCGGACGUGACGGAUGCGUCCGGUGGCCUCCCGGCUUUCUUCAGCUUGGCUGCUCUGGCUGAGGUCGCAGCCAUGGAGAAUGUGCACAGAGCCCAGCGUGCUGUGAGCAUCCCCACUGAAGGUCAAGUGAAGGACAUGGCUCCUGUGCUGAUUUCCUGUGCGGACCAGUGAGGCCUCAGCCUGGCCCGGGACAGGUUUAGUCCGGACUGGGAUUAUGUACGGACAUGCUGGGGCCUUAAUCUUGACCCUCGGCCUCGGAUGCCGGGGGGAAAGAGCGAUCGAGAGUGAGAGAGACUGGAAAGGGAUGAGGGAAGCUCUGAGCCGGAUGAAGAUGUUUUAUCCCAGAAGCUUUCACCUUACACCCAACCCCAUCCUCCCUCCCUCCCUCCCUCUCACCCCCUCAGGGCCCCGGGGAAGCCAAUUCUGGUCCCUACGCCUGUUUCCUCUGGUGGCUCCGGACCAGUUUUCAGACAAUUUACAAUCUGCAAGAAAUGGCUACUAUUUAAGGUCAAGUUUUGCCUACAAAAAGUGCAUUUGAAGCAAGUGCUCCCUCUCUGUCUUUCUCUAUCUUUACGUUUCUGUUCCUGGUCAGCUUCAAUGCACAACCGUCGUUUUUCACACAGCAGCGUACACCUUCUCUCGGUCAGAGGAACGUUUUGUGGCUUCCUGUCCCCCUUCUUUGCUCUGAAUCUUACGAAGAGAGAGAGAGAGAAUGAGUGUUUUCAGACUGCUUAACCUCAGCCUCAUACCUCACAAACCUGUUCAGAUUUGUUCUCUGCACAGAAGCGCCACCUUCACCUUCAUAAUGCACAGUUCGAUGCCUAGAUGCCUCUUUCUUUCAAGCAAUGACCCUCAAUGUGUCCGGUGCCUCUGUCGAUGACAGUUGUUCAGAGAUAAACCACCUGUUUUCCACUCACAGACAGCAGCGAUGUGUCGGGGGAAAGCCGGAUGUUUGCAUAAGCUGUGCUGCGGUUGACGAGCAGGGUCCAAAAUUAGCACUUGCAAAGCAUAGAAUAUUUUAUUAUAUUCAUUUACAUUACCGUUCAAAAGACCGGGAUCUGUAAUAAUGCUUUCGAAAGAAGUCUCUUACGAUCACCAGUGUUGUAUUUAUUCAAUCAGAAAUACAGUAAUAUUGUGAAAUAUUAUUACAAUUUUAAAUAUUUAUUUUCUAUUUUCAAAUCUAAUUUAUUCCUGUGACGGCAAAGCUGAAUUUUCCGCAUCAUUAUUCCAGUUUUCAGUGUCAUGUGAUCCUAAUUAUUUUAAUAUGCUGAUUUGGUGCUUAAGAAACAUUCUUAUUAACAACCAUGUUGAAUACAGCCGUGCUGCUUCUCGAUGCCUUUUUCGGUUUCUUUGAGCAGAACGUUUAAAAGAAUAAGAAUGUUUUGUAACAUCAUAAAUGUUGCUGCCACUUUCGAUCAGUUUAAUGCAUCUUUGCUGAAUAAAAGUAUUAAUUUCUUUCAGAAAAGAAUUACUGACCGCUUUUGAACGGUAAUGUAUAUUGUAAAAAAAAAUAAAAUUUCUAUAGAUUUUUUGCAAUGUGAAAUAAUCAGAAAUAGUUCAUAUUUCUGGCCUACAAUUUUUUUAAUUCAUCAACUGUUGGCAUCGAAAAGAGUUUACCCUGCUAGACUGAAUCACCCGAUGGAAAGGCAGUUGAACGUUUUUUAUAUCGUGACACCCCGUCACUUUUAGCUCUACGCUCUUCUGUGACAUGUACAGCUAUCAGUGAGUUCAUUAUCAGAGCAGUAUGGCGAUACUUGAACGAAAAAAUGCAUUUUAUGUCAAUACUUGACCUUACUGCAGUGUGUAGCGUCUUGCUGGCUAAUCCAAAAGAGUGCUACUCCUCUCUAAUAUAGUUUAAUAAUAGACACUGCACUAAUUUUUAGCUACCGUAGACAAUGCUUUUAGUUGUCCUUGGCUUUCGUUAUAAUAGUAAGUUUUGUUUUAGUUUUAGUCUCAAGUUAGCUUUUGUAUCAUCACUGAGAUACUCAGCCCUCGUUUUUUUUUGUUGUUGUUUUUUUCCUGUACCUGAGGCUGUAGACGCCAUUCCAGCUCAAAGUUUUGCUGAUUCUGUCCAUUCCUCCAAGCACAUGGUGGGAGAGAGUUCGAGAGGAAAAGAAAACUGGGAUUGACGUAGAAGAGAAAGGCGGAUUUUUUUUUUCUCUCUCUCUCUUUCUCUCACAGACACGCACAGACACCUUGAAUUGUGGGAGUCAGCAUAGCAUGUUCUCCCGCGACGCACACAUCCUGUGUUUUAGGCACUUGUGAGUCAGAUUCUGGUCUUCAAACCAGAUUUGAGUGUGCUGUGUGUAAAUGACACGUAGCAAAAAAUCACGUUCUUACUCGUAUGUUUGUCUCGUUAACAUAUCAAAAAAAAAAUUCUUCGAACAAGAUCUGUUUAUUUGAGAAGCAGGAAUGUGUGUUUGGCUUUUCCCUCAAUAUUUUAAAAUGAAAACCGUGUUAAAUUUUCUUGAAUUUAUACUUAAAACAUAUGACAAAUAUGACUUUUGGGGUUUUAAAGCUAAUGGGUUUUAAUUUAAGUGAGUAAUGUUUUUGAGUGAUUCGCUAAAAUCGAUUCAUUCAGUGAACCUUUGUACUGGUUGCGUCAUUAUUCCAGGAAGCGUUGAGAAGCAAAUGUCAUUUUGUGAGUUAUGAGGAAGUUCUGAAUCAUUUACGGUACUUGACUGAAUCUUUACAAACAACAGUGUUGUUCACAAUCAAAGCAAGCCUUUAUUAAAAAGUGAGUGCCUACAAAUUGGAGAAAGGAACAUGAUUCCUCUGCUUAAUGGAUUUGUUUAAAAACUGAUCUGUUUCAUUUAUUCUUCUAUGAUCUUGCGCAGUUUUGCUUCUCAGCUUCACGCUGUGUGCAUGUGAGGGUAAGCAACUGAUAUUUCUGGUUUGAUUGUUUUCAGAGCAGUUGAAGGAGAAACUGUCCAUCUUCCCUGUCCCUUACUCCUUAAUGGCAGUGAACAAGUUUCUGUAGACUGGACAAAAUAUAGAACAAAUAGCACAAUUAUUUGUAAAUGGAGUAUUAACAGCAUUACUGAAUCUCACGGAGAAUGCAUUCCUCAUUUCGAAUUCAACAAGACUUCUUUCACAUUAAGUGUAGUAAAUGUUCAGCUCAGUGACUCCGGUAACUACAGCUGUAAAAUAACAAGAUUUAUUCCACCGCCGAUAUUAGACAGCACCUCAAAUAUGACGCUCCAAGUUGCAGUGCGUCCACAUCUGUCUCUGAAGAAACUGAACAGCAGUAAUGAAACCUGUGUCCAUCUGCGCUGCUCUCUGGAGAAUCUGCAGCCGGGGCAGGUGAACUUCAUCUGGGACAGAGAGGGUCACGGGUCUCUCCGUUCAGUCCUGAAUAACUCCAUGAACAGUGAGCUGCUUCUGUGUAAACCUGACUGGAGCGAUGGAGACACAAUCACCUGUUACGCCAAAUACUUACAAACACAAACACUGUACAGCUGCAAUAUUACACUUGACUUCAGACAUAAAGCAGGCCGUUUUCCAGUUUGUGUGGUUCUUUUCGGCAUCUUCAUCAUCAGCAUAGUUUUCAUCUGGAUGUUGUUUUUCGUAUUGCAAUAUAAGGACCAUAAUCAGAAGAACUUGAGUCAUUCUCUACUGUAAUAUUUUUAAAAGUACUGUCUUUUGGAUAUUUCACUGUAUGCUUAAAUGCUUAUGUUAAAUACAUAACUAGCAUGUGGUACGACGUAUAAUAAACCGCAAAUAGGCCUUCUUCUCUGUUGUCUGUGAGAUCUUUUGAUUUUGAAGCUUUUUAAUUCAAAUGAAAGCUGAAGGUGUCAUUUGACUUGCUGUAUAAAUGUCUAUGUGGGUUAUUCACUUUUAUACACCCUUAAAAUGCUAGUCCAAUUACAAACGAGAGACAUUUGUCAUAUUGUGGUUGGGUGCAUGGGCAGGAAGUUCAUUACUUGUGGUUUUUGCGUGGAGACGCUCAGCUCAUAGUGUUCAGUCAACAUGUUUUAAGAUGGAUUACAAACUGCCAUUAAUUUUUUACUUUAACUUUUUUCAAAAAUGCAAGCAAGAGACUUCAGUGUCAUGUAAUGUCUAGCUAGUGACUUGGAAAUAACUGACUAAUAAUAAAGAU